UACGUAGGGUGCGAGCGUUGUCCGGAAUUACUGGGCGUAAAGCGCACGUAGGCGGCUUUGUAAGUUAGAGGUGAAAGCCCGGGGCUCAACUCCGGAAUUGCCUUUAAGACUGCAUCGCUAGAAUUGUGGAGAGGUAAGUGGAAUUCCGAGUGUAGAGGUGAAAUUCGUAGAUAUUCGGAAGAACACCAGUGGCGAAGGCGACUUACUGGACACAUAUUGACGCUGAGGUGCGAAAGCGUGGGGAGCAAACAGG
rnacentral:rRNA from 1 species